AUGCGAUGGAGAAGGUGAGAAAUAAUAUCAUGGACCGUUUUAACUAUAGAGACCAUGAUUACAAGCCAAUUAUAGAUAUUAUAGAUAGAAGAUAGGACAGCCAAAUGUCAUCUCUAUUGUAUUUGGCUGCUUACAUCCUUAACCCAGCCUGUUUAUUCACUUCUGUUGAUCCAGCAAAAGCACUUACUAUGCAUAUGGUUGGAUUUAUUGAUGUGUUGAAAAGAACGAUUCUAGAUAGAAAAGAACAGGAUAAGAUCUCAACUUUACUGGACUUUUAUACAAAGUGAGGGCAUAUUCUCAAGGAAUAUCGUCAUCAGGCAUCGGACAAUGAAAUUACCCACUGACUGGUAGGCUACCUAUGGAGUGAACCCGAACAGGAAGGAUCCAGCUCUAAAGAAGUUGGCUAUGAGGAUUCUUGGACUCACGUGUUCUGCCAGUGGUUGCGAGCGUAAUUGGAGCACGUUCGAAGUGAUUCAUGCCAAGAAAAGGAAUCGCCUUGAGCAAAAAAAGCUCAACGACUUGGUUUUCAUUCAAUACAAUCAAAAAUCGCGAGAACAAUUCCAAACUAGGAAAGAAAAGCCCGAUUUCUUUGACCCUAUCUGCUUAGAUGAGUUGGAUGCAGAUAACGAGUGGCUCGUAGAGACGGAGGACCCAGUAUUUGCUAGAGAGGACCUGACAUGGGCACAAGUUGAAGAUACCGCAUACGGAUCGACACCUGGUGAAGGUAGUAUCACUCGAAGGCGAAGGAUAGGGGGGAGCCGGGGAGCGAGUAGUAACUGUCAACCCGUUGAAGAGAUUGAGG